GACGAACGCUGGCGGCGUGCUUAACACAUGCAAGUCGAACGGAAAGGCCCUGCUUUUGUGGGGUGCUCGAGUGGCGAACGGGUGAGUAACACGUGAGUAACCUGCCCUUGACUUUGGGAUAACUUCAGGAAACUGGGGCUAAUACCGGAUAGGAGCUCCUGCUGCAUGGUGGGGGUUGGAAAGUUUCGGCGGUUGGGGCUGGACUCGCGGCUUAUCAGCUUGUUGGUGGGGUAGUGGCUUACCAAGGCUUUGACGGGUAGCCGGCCUGAGAGGGUGACCGGCGACCAGGGGACUACGGUACGGCCCAGACUCCUACGUGCGGCAGCAGUGGGGAAUAUUGCACAAUGGGCGGAAGCCUGAGGCAGCAACGUCGGGUGCGGGAUGACGGCCUUCGGGUUGAAAACAGCUUUCGCCUGUGACGAAGCGUGAGUGACGGUAAUGGGUAAAGAAGCACCGGCUAACUACGUG
rnacentral:rRNA from 1 species